GAUGAAGAACGCAGCGAAAUGCGAUAAGUAGUGUGAAUUGCAGACUUUAGUGAAUCAUCGAAUCUUUGAACGCACAUUGCGCCCCUUGGUAUUCCAUUGGGCAUGCCUGUUCGAGCGUCAUUUCAACCAUCAAGCCUCAGGCUUGUGUUGGAGCCCUGCGGCUGCCGCAGCCUCCCAAAAACAGUGGCGGGCUCGCUAUCACACCGAGUGCAGUAGUUUACUCUUCGCUCAGGGCGUGUGGCGGGUGCUAGCCGUGAAACCCCCUACUUCUCAAGGUUGACCUCGGAUCAGGUAGGAAUACCGCUGAACUUAAGCAUAUCAAUAAGCGGAGGA
rnacentral:misc_RNA from 1 species